GCCGUCCUAGCCCGUGUAGCAGAAUCCUUGCUGGGCAGAGCUUCCCAAAGGUCAGCUCCUCCCCGGGGCCUGCAGACCUCACAAAAAAGAAAAGAAAAGCUCCACUCCAAGCCUGAUCGCAUGAACAGACGCUGUCUGGGAAAGGCUUCUCACAGGAGGAAACCGGGGAACAUGUAAUCGCAUCUUUUUUCAAAGUGAUUUGUGACGCCGCGCAGGGAGAAACGAGCAGUCGAAGAAAACCUCUCCCGGGCACACCGGCUGAUCGGAAAUCAGUUGCAGGAUUGGGGAGGAACCCUCUGCGGGGGUGAAGUCAUCGCUACCUUUGACACCGUGAUCCCAGGACAACACCAAAGAGACAGGGAUUCCUGAUUUCAAACGAGGAGGGGCUAAGCAUGCCCUUG